rnacentral:lncRNA from 1 species
GCCUAGAUUAACAUCAGUUUUAAUUUCGCAAAAAAAAAAAAGAUAAUUAACAUUUUUAAAAAUGUUCCAAAAUCUGUUCCACCCCUACGUCAGUGCGUCGGGGUGGUUCCCGUGACGUCACACGUCACUUUUCUCUCGGAGGCAUCUGAUUGGAUAUCUGGCCUCCCACGCGGAUCAUCUUUAUGCGCGUGAUUUCCUACCGCCAAAUUCGACGGGUUUUCCCUGAAACGGACGGAUUUAUAUUUUCAUGAGUUGUUGUUUAUCAGAAGUUUUAGCCGUUGCGGACAUUUCAUUUGAGCUCGAGUGUGAAGUAGAUCCGCUAUGAGUGACAAAUGCGCCAAACUGAAACUGAAACGAAAGAAGCCGCCACUCCCGGAGUAUAAAACUUCUUUUAAAAGUGGACAAAAUGUCGGCGUCUGUGAGAGAGACAGUAAAAGAGUGAAAGAAGGAGCUUCGCUGUUAAAGUGCACAGCACAGCAGCCCGUCGGUGGUGCUCAGCAGUGGUGGAGCAGCACCGGACUCGGAGAGGUGGAGCGACUGUGGACGUCCGCACUGAAGUCCGCCAUCCCUAAUCUGGAGCAGGACGUGUGGGAGCCCGUGUCAGACCUCCCUGCGGCCUCAGCACCGAGACCAUCAGACAGAGAUGACACGGGGUGGACGUGGUGCAGUCUUGGCGAAGAAGUGGGCCCCUUUCCUUCUCCAGCCACGGACGUUCACACCUCAAAGGAACCGCUGUGCCCUGCAGAUUCCGGUCCAGGUUCCACUGAAAAUGGGACUGUGCUGAUGGAACACGAGCAGAGGCGUGACCUCUUCCCCAGGCCUGGUGGUCUCGCGCUGCGUCUGGGAAAUGAGCAGCCACAGGAGCCUACUUCUUCAUGGGAGACGACAGGAGGGAGCGUCUCGGCAGACAGGCCCCGGCCCCAAGUAGAGCCGGCCGGCGCCUCGUUAGCUGCCACUGGGAACGAGAGAAUCGCGGACCAGGACAGCGCGGUUGGGGCUGAUGGGAGUUCGAGAGGGGGCGAUAGCUUGGAAAGCUGCCCCAUGUGCUUGAUGAGGUUCCCUGCUGGGUAAGGCCAUUCUGUCAGUAUCCUGAUGAUUCCACUGCCCUGUUCUCUCUCACUCACACACACAUACACACUCACACACACACACACACACACACACACACACACACACCCCCCUCAGGGUACAUGCAGACCAUUCUUUCUACAAGAGCACACUGUACGUGAACGAACCGCUAUGGUACCCAGGCUAACAUUUAUAUGGUACAGGGCUGCUGGUAGAUAAAGUAGCAACUAGCAGUCAGAGGCUCUGUUACCUUUGGACUCGACUGACCACGGUUAGGAUCCCGCCACCUUUGAGUGAGGUACACCACCCCCGAAACUGGUCUAGUAAAAGUUACCUAUCUGUAUAAAUGGGUAAAUAACUGUAAAGUGCAAUGCAAGUUUGUUUGGAGAAAAAUGUCAACUAAAUGAAUAAAUGUAAAUGUAAUGUAGUGUUAAAUAAGGC